UACGUAGGGGGCAAGCGUUGUCCGGAUUUAUUGGGCGUAAAGAGCGUGUAGGCGGCUGGGUAGGUCCGUUGUGAAAACUCGAGGCUCAACCUCGAGACGCCGAUGGAAACCCCCCAGCUAGAGUCCGGAAGAGGAGAGUGGAAUUCCUGGUGUAGCGGUGAAAUGCGCAGAUAUCAGGAAGAACACCAGUGGCGAAGGCGGCUCACUGGUCCGGUACUGACGCUGAGGUGCGAAAGCGUGGGGAGCAAACAGG
rnacentral:rRNA from 1 species